UUGAAGACGGCAUAACGCGUCAGGUGAAAGACCUGGCAAUUCCUUGAUUGGCNNNNNNNNNNNNNNNNNNNNNNNNNNNNNNNNNNNNNNNNNNNNNNNNNNNNNNNNNNNNNNNNNNNNNNNNNNNNNNNNNNNNNNNNNNNNNNNNGUUGGCAAAUUAGCUUUGAUCCGGAGAUUUCCGAAUGGGGAAACCCACCGAAAGGUAUCGUUAUCUGAAUACAUAGGGUAACGAGGCGAACCGGGUGAACUGAAACAUCUCAGUAGCUCGAGGAAAAGACAUCAACCGAGAUUCCGAAAGUAGUGGCGAGCGAAAUCGGAGAAGCCUGUUAGUGAUAGCACAAGACAUAACGGAACAGCUUGGAAAGGCUGGCCAUAGCGGGUGAUAGCCCCGUACGUGAAAUGACCUGUGUGGUACUGAGCUAACGACAAGUAGGGCGGGACACGAGAAAUCCUGUCUGAAUAUGGGGGGACCAUCCUCCAAGGCUAAAUACUCAUCAUUGACCGAUAGUGAACUAGUACCGUGAGGGAAAGGCGAAAAGAACCCCGGGAGGGGAGUGAAAUAGAUCCUGAAACCGCGUGCUUACAAAAAGUAGGAGCCCGCAAGGGUGACUGCGUACCUUUUGUAUAAUGGGUCAGCGACUUACAUUCAGUGGCAAGGUUAACCGAAUAGGGAAGCCGUAGAGAAAUCGAGUCCGAAUAGGGCGAUCAGUCGCUGGGUGUAGACCCGAAACCAAGUGAUCUAUCCAUGGCCAGGAUGAAGGUGCCGUAACAGGUACUGGAGGUCCGAACCGACUAGUGUUGCAAAACUAGCGGAUGAGCUGUGGAUAGGGGUGAAAGGCUAAACAAACUUGGAAAUAGCUGGUUCUCUCCGAAAACUAUUUAGGUAGUGCCUCAAGUAUUACCUUCGGGGGUAGAGCACUGUUUUGGCUAGGGGGUCAUGGCGACUUACCAAACCAAGGCAAACUCCGAAUACCGAAGAGUACAGCUUGGGAGACAGAGCACCGGGUGCUAACGUCCGGACUCAAGAGGGAAACAACCCAGACCGCCAGCUAAGGUCCCUAAAAUUGGCUAAGUGGGAAACGAAGUGGGAAGGCUAAAACAGUCAGGAUGUUGGCUUAGAAGCAGCCAUCAUUUAAAGAAAGCGUAAUAGCUCACUGAUCGAGUCGUCCUGCGCGGAAGAUGUAACGGGGCUAAGCCAGUUACCGAAGCUGCGGAUUUGCAAUUUAUUGCAAGUGGUAGGAGAGCGUUCUGUAAGCCUGUGAAGGUGCGUUGUAAAGCGUGCUGGAGGUAUCAGAAGUGCGAAUGCUGACAUGAGUAGCGUUAAAGGGGGUGAAAAGCCCCCUCGCCGUAAGCGCAAGGUUUUCUACGCAACGUUCAUCGGCGUAGAGUGAGUCGGCCCCUAAGGCGAGGCAGAGAUGCGUAGCUGAUGGGAAACAGGUCAAUAUUCCUGUACCGAUUGUUAGUGCGAUGUGGGGACGGAUCUUAAUAGGUCAUCCGGGUGUUGGAUAUCCCGGUUUAGAUGGAUGUAGGCGUGCAUUAGGCAAAUCCGGUGCACAUAUACCGAGGCCAUCGAUCGAGCCAGCUUGCUGGUGAAGUGAUUGAACGAGGUUCCAGGAAAAGCCACUAAGCUUCAGCUAACAACGACCGUACCGCAAACCGACACUGGUGCGCGAGAUGAGUAUUCUAAGGCGCUUGAGAGAACUCAGGAGAAGGAACUCGGCAAAUUGACACCGUAACUUCGGAAGAAGGUGUGCCCUAUUAGUGUGAAGUGAACAACGGAGCAUGAACGGGUUGCAAAAAAUCGGUGGCUGCGACUGUUUAUUAAAAACACAGCACUCUGCAAACACGAAAGUGGACGUAUAGGGUGUGACGCCUGCCCGGUGCUGGAAGAUUAAAUGAUGGGGUGCAAGCUCUUGAUUGAAGUCCCAGUAAACGGCGGCCGUAACUAUAACGGUCCUAAGGUAGCGAAAUUCCUUGUCGGGUAAGUUCCGACCUGCACGAAUGGCGUAACGAUGGCCACACUGUCUCCUCCUGAGACUCAGCGAAGUUGAAAUGUUUGUGAUGAUGCAAUCUCCCCGCGGAAAGACGGAAAGACCCCAUGAACCUUUACUGUAGCUUUGUAUUGGACUUUGAACAGAUCUGUGUAGGAUAGGUGGGAGGCUUUGAAGCA
rnacentral:rRNA from 1 species